AUGGUGAUUCGCUAACAAAACUGUCUGCCUCCUCCAUGGGAUCUGCAACAAUACAAUCAUUAGGCUAGCCAUAUAGGCAGACAACUCGUAGAGAUUCUGGCUUGGUAAAACUGUGUAGGAACAAAAGAGUCUAGGGUCGGUUGCUCGUUGUGUUGGGCCAGUAUUGGCAGUUUGGCUUUGGCACCUUUAAACUGGGUGGGGAGAGAAACAUUACUUGUGUUGUAAGCAAACCCAAGUUCUUGAUCUGAUCAAAACCCACCCAAGGCUGGGUUCAUGGAACGGAAAGGGAGAAAUAUUAACAAAUUGUCUCUUGUGUGCAGAAUAAGUUAAAAUUUUUGGAGCUUACUUUUCUGGCUACAGUAACAGCAUCCUCUAAAGGAAGCUGCAAACGGGCAUUAAGAGCAACUCCAGCGGUUACCUUCGUCAGGGUAGGAGGGAACCCAAAUUACAGGUUGGCAUUCCAACGGGCCUAAGCUGCCAGGGCAGCAGCUGCAUCUCAGCAAACCGGACCAGCUUGGGCUGUUACUAUGGGUUUACUGCGUCAGUAACGAAAAAAAAAAAUGUAAAACAAAAACUAAAAAUUUCAGAAUUUUUAAAAAUAAAUACUUAGUCAUAUUCUUCACUUUUCACACCAAAACUAUAUAUAAAUUCCUCUCCUCAUAUCUCAUGUGAAUUGUUGCUAUGACAAUGAGUGGAAACACCACAAGCCCUUAUCUUGUCCUUACCCUUUGCAUAACAAAUAAGUGGAAGUGCUCUAUGAAAGCGGAAUUAUUUGUUCCCUAUUUUUUGGUAGGCUUUAAUGAAGCAUCACUUUUGACCAAAACAAAAAGGGCAGAAUAAUUUGUUUUGGAACAAAUGUUCUCUACCAUUGCAUUUGCGAGUUUCAGUUAAUUUCAAGUCAAAUUACAUGACUUAAGUAAGGAAUUUGUAAUUGAAGUUAUUAAGAGCAUGCUUACUCUCACCCAAAUAAUAUAUGUGUUCCAUUAACUCAUUUCUAAUAUCAAUUGCAGGUCUUAAUUUUACUCUUUUUUAAAAAAAUUUAAAAAAACCAUAUUAUAUUUUAAUCUACUAUAAAAUACAGGAAGGAGAAGUCAAACUCGAGUACAGAGUGGAGAGCAUAUUCGCUCUAACUAACUUGGCUAAUCUUAUGUAUCCCGGUCUUAACUCUACUUGAAUUUACUUGACCCUCAUAAAGUUUUGUUAAUAAUUUUCAUAUAAUUGAAAUUUAUUAUUUUUUAAUCUUGUACCAAGAAUUACUUUUUAAUCAUGUACCAAGGACGGUACAAGCAGGCA
rnacentral:lncRNA from 1 species